UACAUGUGGGGCAAGCGUUGUUCGGAAUUACUGGGCAUAAAGGGUGCGUAGGCGGCUUCUUAAGUCUGAUGUGAAAGCCCACGGCUCAACCGUGGAGGGUCAUUGGAAACUGGGAGACUUGAGUGCAGAAGAGGAUAGUGGAAUUCCCGGUGUAGUGGUGAAAUGCGUAGAUAUCGGGAGGAACACCAGUGGCGAAGGCGACUACCUGGCCUGUUCUUGACGCUGAGGCGCGAAAGCUAGGGGAGCAAACGGG
rnacentral:rRNA from 1 species